rnacentral:tRNA from 1 species
UGGCUCAGCAGUUAGAGCACUGGCUGUCUUUCCAGAGGACCUGGGUUCAAAUCCCAG